GAUGAACGCUGGCGGCGUGCUUAACACAUGCAAGUCGAACGGAAAGGCCGAAGCUUGCUUCGGUACUCGAGUGGCGAACGGGUGAGUAACACGUGGGUGACCUGCCCUGUACUUCGGGAUAAGCUUGGGAAACUGGGUCUAAUACCGGAUAUGACGAUCUCUUGGAUGGGGUUGUGGAAAGCUUUUGCGGUAUGGGAUGAGCUCGCGGCCUAUCAGCUUGUUGGUGGGGUAAUGGCCUACCAAGGCGUCGACGGGUAGCCGGCCUGAGAGGGUGUACGGCCACAUUGGGACUGAGAUACGGCCCAGACUCCUACGGGAGGCAGCAGUGGGGAAUAUUGCACAAUGGGCGCAAGCCUGAUGCAGCGACGCCGCGUGGGGGAUGACGGCCUUCGGGUUGUAAACUCCUUUCGCAAUCGACGAAGCCUUUUGGUGACGGUAGGUUGAGAAGAAGCACCGGCUAACUACGUG
rnacentral:rRNA from 1 species